GGUUUGAUCAUGGCUCAGAUUGAACGCUGGCAGGAUGCUUUACACAUGCAAGUCGAACGGCAGCACGGACUUCGGUCUGGUGGCGAGUGGCGAACGGGUGAGUAAUGUAUCGGAACGAUACUAAUGUGAGAUAACUGCGCGGCGUAGCUAAUACAUGCGCCCUUCGAGGGAAAGCGGGAGACCUUCAGACUCCGCACUAUUAGAGCAGCCGAUAUCGGAUUAGCUGUAGUUGGUGGGGUAACGGCUCGCAAGGCGACGAUCCGUAGCUGGUUUGAGAGGACGACCAGCCACACUGGGACUGAGACACAGCCCCGGACUCUACGGGGAGGCGGCAGUGGGAAUUUUGGACAAUGGGGAAACCCUGAUCCCAGCUCAUCCGCACGUGUGCGAUAAAGGCCUUCAGGUUGUAAAGCACUUUUGGCAGGAAAACUUGGCACGGGAUAAUACCCGUGCAACUGACAGUACCUGCAAGAAUAAGCACACCGGCUAACUACGUGCCAGCAGCGCAGUAAUACGUAGGGUGCGAAGCGUUAAUCGGAAUUACUGGGCGUAAAGCGUGCGCAGGCAGUUCGGAAAAGAAAGAUGUGAAAUCAGAGCUUAACUUUUUGGAACUGCGUGCAACUGCCGAGCUGGAAGGUGUGUCAGAGGAGGUGAAUUCCCUGCAAUGUGGUGAAAUGCGUAGAUAUGCGGAGAGAUUUCGAUGGCGAAGGCAGCCUCCUGGGAUAACACUGACGCUCAUGCGAUGGGGGGGAGCAAACAGGAUUAGAUACCCUGGUAGUCGCCCUAAACGAUGUCAACUAGCUGCUGGGGCCUUCGGGCCUUGGUGGCGCAGCUAACGCGUGAAGUUGACCGCCUGAUUACGGUCGCAAGAUUAAAACUCAAAGGAAUUGACGGGGACCCGCACAAGCGGUGGAUGAUGUGGAUUAAUUCGAUGCAACGCGGCCUUACCUACCGCUUGACAUGUCGAGUCGAAGAGAUUUGGGGGAGUGCUCGCAAGAGAAACAGGCUUACAGGUGCUGCAUAACAUCGUCAGCUCGUGUCGUGGAUGUCGGGUUAAGUCCCGCAACGAGCGCAACCCUUGUCAUUAGUUGCUACGAAGGGCACUCUAAUGAGCCCAUUGACAAACCGGAGGAAGGUGGGGAUGACGUCAAGUCCUCAUGGCCAUAUGGGUAGACCACACGUCAUACAAUGGUCAGGACAGAGGGUCGCCAGCCGAGGCCAAUCCCGAAACCCGAUCGUGGUCGGAUCACCAGUCACAACUCGACGCUACGUGGUCAGAAUCGUAGUAAUCGCGGAUCAACAUGUCGCGGUGAAUACGUUCCCGGGUCUUGUACACCUUAAUCACACCAUGGGAGUGGGUUUUACCGAAAGUAGUUAGCCUAACCGUAAGGAGGGCGAUUACCACGGUAAGUUCAUGACUGGGGUGAAGUCGUAACAAGGUAA
rnacentral:rRNA from 1 species